rnacentral:rRNA from 1 species
CAGGAUGAACGCUAGCGGCAGGCCUAAUACAUGCAAGUCGGACGGGAUCCAUCGGAGAGCUUGCUCGAAGAUGGUGAGAGUGGCGCACGGGUGCGUAACGCGUGAGCAACCUACCUCUAUCAGGGGGAUAGCCUCUCGAAAGAGAGAUUAACACCGCAUAACAUAUCUGGCUGGCAUCGGUGAGCUAUUAAAUAUUUAUAGGAUAGAGAUGGGCUCGCGUGACAUUAGCUAGUUGGUAGGGUAACGGCUUACCAAGGCGACGAUGUCUAGGGGCUCUGAGAGGAGAAUCCCCCACACUGGUACUGAGACACGGACCAGACUCCUACGGGAGGCAGCAGUAAGGAAUAUUGGUCAAUGGGCGGAAGCCUGAACCAGCCAUGCCGCGUGCAGGAUGACUGCCCUAUGGGUUGUAAACUGCUUUUGUCCAGGAAUAAACCUAAAUACGUGUAUUUAGCUGAAUGUACUGGAAGAAUAAGGAUCGGCUAACUCCGUGCCAGCAGCCGCGGUAAUACGGAGGAUCCGAGCGUUAUCCGGAUUUAUUGGGUUUAAAGGGUGCGUAGGCGGCCUAUUAAGUCAGGGGUGAAAUACGGUGGCUCAACCAUCGCAGUGCCUUUGAUACUGAUGGGCUUGAAUCCAUUUGAAGUGGGCGGAAUAAGACAAGUAGCGGUGAAAUGCAUAGAUAUGUCUUAGAACUCCGAUUGCGAAGGCAGCUCACUAAGCUGGUAUUGACGCUGAUGCACGAAAGCGUGGGGAUCGAACAGGAUUAGAUACCCUGGUAGUCCACGCCCUAAACGAUGAUAACUCGAUGUUGGCGAUAGACAGCCAGC